AGCCGCGAAGGUAUCAGUUUUUUUCACUCACCCUGUACAGGGUUCCCAAAAAACCCCCUCAAAACCAUUGAAAUAACGUAUUGUUAAAAUUUGAAUGCCCUAGCACUAAGUCUAAGCUGAACGCAAAGAUGCGUAAAAUAUUGACAAGGGUGCAUAUAUUAAAUAUUGACUUAUUAAGAAAUUAAAACAUCUUUGUAAAGCGCACGAUUUUCUGCUCUUGGAAAUUUAAAACAGCUUCUUAUUUAAUUAUGCAUAAAAUUUACUUGCGUCAAGCUUUGAUGCACGUGUGGGUUCAGCAGAGUGCUGAGGCAUUCAAAUUCUAACAAUACAUUUAUUUAAAUAGUUUUUUUGGGACACUCUGUAGGGUACUAGAAUUUGAAUGCCUUAGCACUCUGUUGGUACCCACGAGUGCAUAAAUGAUUGACACAAGUAAAUUUUAUGCACAAAGAAACUUUUUAAGAAGCUGCUUUAAAUUCCCAACAGCAGAAAAUCGCGCCGACUUUAAGCCCGCCGCAUACGAGCGCACUUGUCGCGCGUACUCGU